rnacentral:rRNA from 1 species
UACGAAGGGGGCUAGCGUUGCUCGGAAUUACUGGGCGUAAAGCGCACGUAGGCGGCUUCUUAAGUCGGUGGUGAAAUCCUGGAGCUCAACUCCAGAACUGCCUUCGAUACUGGGAGCUCGAGUCCGGGAGAGGUGAGUGGAACUGCGAGUGUAGAGGUGAAAUUCGUAGAUAUUCGCAAGAACACCAGUGGCGAAGGCGGCUCACUGGCCCGGUACUGACGCUGAGGUGCGAAAGCGUGGGGAGCAAACAGGG